rnacentral:SRP_RNA from 1 species
GGCCAGGUCGUACGCAACGAAAAUCCGUGAACCCCGUCAGGACCGGAAGGUAGCAGCGGCAGCGGAACCUUUCGUGUGCCGUAUUCCACCUGGCCGGA